AGCAAAUACAAGGCAUACGGCUCAGUAACGCGUAGUCAACCUAACCUAUGGACGGGAAUAACCUCGGGAAACUGAGAAUAAUGCCCGAUAGAACAUUAUGCCUGGAAUGGUUUAUGUUCCAAAUGAUUUAUCGCCGUAGGAUGGGACUGCGGCCUAUCAGUUUGUUGGUGAGGUAAUGGCCCACCAAGACUAUUACAGGUACGGGCUCUGAGAGGAGUAGCCCGGAGAUGGGUACUGAGACACGGACCCAGGCCCUAUGGGGCGCAGCAGGCGAGAAAACUUUGCAAUGUGCGAAAGCACGACAAGGUUAAUCCGAGUGGUUUCUGCUAAAGAAACCUUUUGUCAGUCCUAGAAACACUGAUGAAUAAGGGGUGGGCAAGUUCUGGUGUCAGCCGCCGCAGUAAAACCAGCACCUCAAGUGGUCAGGAUGAUUAUUGGGCCUAAAGCAUCCGUAGCCAGCUCUGUAAGUUUUCGGUUAAAUCUGUACGCUCAACGUACAGGCUGCCGGGAAUACUGCAGAGCUAGGGAGUGGGAGAGGUAGACGGUACUCGGUAGGAAGGGGUAAAAUCCUUUGAUCUAUUGAUGACCACCUGUGGCGAAGGCGGUCUACCAGAACACGUCCGACGGUGAGGGAUGAAAGCUGGGGGAGCAAACCGGAUUAGAUACCCGGGUAGUCCCAGCUGUAAACUAUGCAAACUCAGUGAUGCAUUGGCUUGUGGCCAAUGCAGUGCUGCAGGGAAGCCGUUAAGUUUGCCGCCUGGGAAGUACGUAUGCAAGUAUGAAACUUAAAGGAAUUGGCGGGGGAGCACCACAAGGGGUGAAGCCUGCGGUUCAAUUGGAGUCAACGCCGGA
rnacentral:rRNA from 1 species